rnacentral:tRNA from 1 species
UGGGGCGUCGCCAAGUGGUAAGGCACUGGCUUUUGGUGCCAGCAUUCGGGGGUUCGAAUCCCUCCGCCCCAGCCA